rnacentral:rRNA from 1 species
AGAGUUUGAUCCUGGCUCAGAAGGAACGCUAGCUAUAUGCUUAACACAUGCAAGUCGAACGUUGUUUUCGGGGAGCUGGGCAGAAGGAAAAGAGGCUCCUAGAUAAACGUAGCUUGUCUCGCCCAGGAGGUGAGAAGAGUUGAGAACAAAGUAGCAAACGGGUGCAUAACGCGUGGGAAUCUGCCAAAUAGUUCAGGCCAAAUCCUGAAGAAAGCUAAAAACACAGUUUCAUGAGCCUGCGUAGUAUUAGGUAGUUAGUUAGGUAAAGGCUGACCAAGCCAAUGAUGCUUAGCUGGUCUUUUUGAAUGAUCAACUACACUGGGACUGAGACACAGCCCAAACUCCCACGGGGGCAGCAGUGGGGAAUCUUGGACAAUGGGCAAAAGCCCGAUCCAGCAAUAUCACAUGAGUGAAGAAGGGUAAUGCCGCUUGUAAAUCUCUUUUGUCGAGUGCUGCGGUAAGAUGGGGGGGGCAAGUGUUCUUCGAAAUGACUGGAUGUAAAGGGCACGUAGGCGGUGAAUCAGGUUGAAAGUGAAAGCCGCCAAAAACUGUCGGAAUGCUCUCAAAACCAAUUCUCUUAAGUGAGACAGAGGAGAGUGGAAUUUCAUGUGUAGGGGUAAAAUCUGGAGAUCUACAAAGGAACGCCAAAAGCGAAGACAACUCUCUAGGUCCCUACAGAUGCUGAGGUGCGAAAGCAUGGGGAGCGAACAGGAUUAGUUACCCUGGUAGUCCAUGUCGUAAACGAUGAGUGUUUGCCCUUGGUCUACGCAGAUCAGGGGCCCAGCUAACGCAUGAAACACUCCGCCUGCGGAGUAUGGUUGUAAGACCGAAACUUAAAAGAAUUGACGGGGGCCUGCACAAACGGUAAAGCAUGUGGUUUAAUUUGAUACAACGCGCAAAACCUUACUAGCCCUUGACAUAUGAACAAGAAAACCUGUCCUUAACGGGAUGGUACUGACUUUCAUAUAGGUGCUGCAUGGCUGUUGUCAGCUAUUGUCAUGAGAUGUUUGGUCAAGUCCUAUAACGAGUGAAACCCUCAUUUUGUGUUGCUGAGACUUGCGCCUAAGGAGAGAGUCUUUGAAAUCGAAGUUACCUAAGGAACCGAGUGAUGUGCCAGCGCUACUAAUUGAGUGCCAGCACGUAGCUGUGCUGUCAGUAAGAAGGUAGCCGACACCUUUUAAAGCACUUUCUAUUUCUAUUUAGCGCUCUUUUUUUAUUGUAGCUAGCGCGCUUGACUAAUGAUGAUAGAAAGGGAAUUUGUCGCUUGUUUAGUAAAGUCGAUGUUUUUGGUAUUAUCUUACAGGUGAAGACGACGUUGAUUUGAUGGCAGAGAAAGACUCGACAUUUAGGCAAGACUCCCGAUGGUGUGGUACGUAGUGGGUUUAGUACACCCCUCCCAAACAAACGGCU